AUGCACCACACUUCCCAGACCUUCUUCACUCGGGCCAGCACCGGCGCCCCCCAAACUAUGAGAUCUCAAGGAGGAGCACGAGGUGGCCAUGCUGGGGAUGCCCCACGGCUCUGCUCCCAUGACGUCCACCAUGAUCCACAUCCACAGCGACACCUCCAUGCCCCACCACGUCGUCUGGUCCCUGUUCAACACGCUCUUCCUGAACAUCAGCUGUCUGGGCUUCAUCGCCUUCGCCUACUCCGUGAAGUCUAGGGACAGGAAGAUGGUGGGCGACGUGACCGGGGCCCAGGCCUACGCCUCCACUGCCAAGUGCCUGAAUAUCUGGGCCCUGAUUCUUGGCAUCCUUGGGACCAUUGGUGUCAUCUUGUUCCAGUCUUGAUCUUCAUAGUGUUUCAGUAGACUGUGAGGCAACGUGGAGUUUAUCAUUGCCAUAGCGAGGCCCAUGUGCCCGACCUCCUAUUGUCUUCCCCCUGCCUUGGCCCCUUAUACAGCAGUUUGAACUCACAUACUUUUCUACAGUGGCGGUCAAUAAAGUGUGUC